rnacentral:tRNA from 1 species
AAAUAAGAAGCAAAAAAUUGCAUUUAGUUUCGACCUAAAAGUCUGAUGGUUACAUCCUUAUUUA